AAUUAUCUCACCUUUAAAAUCAUUGAAAUUAAUUCCAGUUGAACUUAAUUCACUUUCAAUUUUAUCAACAAUUGCUUGGAAAUCAGAUGAUGUCACAUUAGCGGUUUCACUUUCUUCAGGCCAAUAGACCAAAUCAAAGUUUAUUCUAUACUUACUGGACCUUCUUGACCAUUGGAUGGAGGACAAACGGUGAGACACUCGUCGGUUUCUGGGCAGUAAAUUGUUCCUGAAGUACAAUAGUCAAUCUGUUUAGUUAAACUCUCAACACAAACAAUAUCCAAACAUGUUAAUGAUGAGGCACAGAAAAUAAACUCAUCGAUACAAAGUGGACUUCGUUUUUUAGAUUAUGUUUAACUGACCAAAAUGAUGACGGAUAUUCAAUGGUUUCUAUAUUCUUCCUGGAAUUUGUUGCCGAUAAUUUAUUAAUUGGAAACAAUAUUAACAUGGUCAUUACCAUUAAAGGAUAACCAUUACUGUUGGAUAAUUUUGGAAACACCAUUUGAACAAUCAGUUAAUCUCCAAUCAAACAAGUUCCAUGGGAUUAACACAUGACUGUUGAUCUGAUCACGUUUGAUGUAAAAAAUUUUCAACAACAAGGUAACCAUAACCGUCAUUAUGGAAACCUAUUAAUUUAUAAAUUGUUAAAUUUUCAACAAUUUAUAGAUUUGGAUUAUUUCACAAUCUCAACGAAAACAUAUACUCCUAAAGGUUAAAAGAUAUCACAGUUAUAUUGUUUAUCUUUGACCAAUACAAGAUAUUGCUAAGGUAACUAUUGGAUUCGUGGAAAUGAUUAACAACAAUACUAAUCAUCAUCAUCAUCAUCAUCAUCAUCAUAAUUAGAUUGUAAUAUUUUUCACCAUUUAAUUGAAAUCGAUAACAGAAUUGUCAUUAAUCAUAAACAGAAAAACAGUCUGGGUCAGUUAAUUUUUAGAAUGAUAAAUUUUCAAUUGAUCCGAAAUGAUUAAGAAAAAAAAAGAGAUCAAACCAAUAGAAAUUAAUUGUUACUUAGAUUGGAAAUCAAUUUGUUACCUCAAUUAAUCAAUUGUAAGUCAAAUUAUUAUUGGUAAAUUUUGUUCUUAUUGUUAAUAUUAAUCAGAUUUUUCUCAAUGAAUUGACAUUGGUUCUGAUUGUUGGUUUGAUUUUAGAGACCAAAAUUGAAUCUCUAUUACAAUAUUUCCAGUGUAACAA